CUAGCUCCCCGCGGUUGGCUGUUUUUGUCGUUGGGACUGGUUUGGAUCCGGGACUGGCCGCCCCCGGUCGCCCCCGCCCCCACCUCGGCCGCCCGAGGCUUUUCUUCCCUCUCUUGCCCCUUCGCGGCGGUGCUCGAGGUUCUCUAGGUGUUUCUAUGACUACAUUGUGUGUGUGGGAGGGUCAGAUGUGGGGGGCUGCCCGCGAGAGGGCCGUUCCUGGGCGAUCAUUUAUCAAUGUCACCCACAUAAUGAUUCUCUCUGCAGCCUCCUAUUGAUGAGGAUAAUUACAUUAGCUCAGAGUGACUGAUCAAUGAAAAACCACCACACAAAAACUUCUUUACUCCUCUAUAAUACCAAAAACCGAUACAGAAAUAACAUAGAAAGCCUGAUUUUUCUUUCCCUUUCCUAUCCACCAAUAGAUUCUGCCCCCCCCUCCCCCAAAAAGGACUGGGAGUAAAGUAAGAAAAUAGACCCAGGUUUGUUUCGUUUAAAGGAGGAUGCAAUUUUGCCGUGAAUGCAUUUUCUCAAAAUGCGUUGGCUUCAUUCCUCCUUUGCUAAAGAAUAUCAACGGAUUUACUAAUAGAAUCUAGUCCAGGAAUAUCCAGUGUGUCAGAUCAAAUCCCAGCAACAAAGCUGCGCGAAACUGCAAAACCGGUCCUCGGAGCUCUGAGCGGCUGGGCUGUCACGUCCACCUAUAACAUCAGAGCGCCCCCUGCUGGCGAGCGGAGUAGACGGCGCCGUUGUGGCGCGCACAGGCGUCUUCUCGGUUUGCCAGUUACCCCGCGCGGACUCGGGACCCCUCGAAGGCGAGGGCGCGCAGAACCGCCCUGUGUCACAUCUUCUCCAACCCCUCCUCUUUGGGGAUGCUCCGAACCGGGUCGGGGACUAGAGGACGUCAGGGAAGGAGCGCUUCUAGGGCGAGGCAGAGGCGGCCCCGGUCUUCGCGCCCGGGAAGGGCUGCCUCCAGUCGGGGUGUGAUUUGAAGAAUUACUGGGGCUAUUGUGACAACGGAGAAUAAAGAAAAGAAAGCAGGUGUCCCCAGUGCAGUUGAAUCCAAGCAGCGACAUUUCCAGUAAGAUACUCUCACAGAUGAAGAAAAUGGGAACAUCUCAUUGUAUUUGUCUCAGUUUGACUUAAUGAAAUUUGGAGACACUGACAGUCUGGUCAAUGUUCUACGUAAAUUAAUGCAAAGGUCCUUAGGAAGAGACUGAAGACACCUCUUGCCAUUAAUCUUAAACCACUUGAAGAUUAUGAUUAAAUGAAUGGGAUCACUAAGCAUUAUCAUUUCAAAUAGCCGUUAACUGUCUCCACCCCUGU